rnacentral:rRNA from 1 species
CAAUAGCGUAUAUUAAAGUUGUUGCAGUUAAAAAGCUCGUAGUUGGAUUUCGGGGUGGCCUGGCUGGUCCGCCGCAAGGUGAGUACUGGUCAGCCGCCCUUCCUCUCGAAAGCCCCGACUGCUCUUUACUGCAGUGGUCGGGUAGUUCGGGACGUUUACUUUGAAAAAAUUAGAGUGUUCAAGGCAGGCUAUCGCCUGAAUACAUUAGCAUGGAAUAAUGGAAGAGGACCUCGGUCCUAUUUUGUUGGUUUCUAGGGCCGAAGUAAUGAUUAAGAGGGACAGUUGGGGGCAUUCGUAUUUAAUUGUCGGAGGUGAAAUUCUUGGAUUUAUGAAAGACGAACUAGUGCGAAAGCAUUUGCCAAGGAUGUUUUCAUUAA